ACAGACAGAGCCAAAGUGUCUUUACCAUUAGUCCUCAUUAGACACAGCGCACAACCUAGCGACCGCUCCGAUGUUAUCUUUAAAACAACGGGGAUGAUAUACUAGUCCUUGUAGGUUUUGAUUGACUUUCAAGGCAAUCUUACCUAGAUUUGUUUCCUACUGAGUGAAAUCUCCACGGGGCCUCCGGAUAAAAUUAUCACUGACAUCAGGAAGGAAAAACACUAACAAUUUUGGAAUGGCUACAGUUAACAAAGGGAAUCUAAAUGCCAAUGCUUCCCCUAAACAGUGGGGAGACGAUCACCAGCACACAGCACUGGCAGGAUAUGCAACAUGCAUCUCAAGUAUCUAGAACAUUCCAGAGCCCUCAACAGUGCCGUUCCAGUGGGCUAUCCUAUAACAGCCCCUUCGUGGCACAGAACUAGGCUUACAAAAGAACCCAUCCAGAGCCUCCCUGUGGUUGCCGUGCACCCAGGUGAGGAGAACGCUAUGCCCGAGGUAUCCCAUGAAUUUCCCAGAGAACAAAGCUUGAGUUUGACAGCUGCAAGAAGAGCAACCCAUCGGGGCAAAAGCAGGUCUCCCCACAAGAAGCAAACUGUCCUGAAGAUACCAACUCACUGUGUGGCCAGUUCAGCACAAACGCCGAGGGGCAACUGGGGACCUGCACAAAGAAGAUGUCUACAAUAAAAGCAAUGGGAAAUGCAUACUUGAAGGUUUUUCAGCGCUACCCACAGCAACACUGAAGACAGCUCUCGAAGCAUCAUCUGCCAGUCCCCCAGCAGAAAGACUAAAUUAAGUACAUUGUGAUCACGGUUCCUAGACUUUCUCAGGAGCUGGGAAGCCUUCCGUCCACCAGCCAUCCAGAGCCUGCUCUCAAAUAGACUACUAGUUAGUAUUUGACUUAUUUAAAACAUCCUAACGAAGAAAUCUGAAUGUUUCAGCGGAGGUGGAGCUUGGGUCACCAGGCUCCCAGGCAGGACAGCUUUUGAAGACUUUCAGAGUCUAUAGAAGAGAAACGAAGACUAGGAAGAAAAAGUGUCCAGGUCCACCCAGGACUGAGAGUUUCCUCAGAAUGUAGGGCGUUAGUGCUGGCAACCCUUCUGAUAGGCCAGUGCCUGGCCCCAGAGACCAAGCCCAUGGGAAAACAACAGAAUGAUUGCAGGAAUGUUAAACACACCCUAUGCGUACCAACGACCUUUCAGUGAAAGCGGCUACAAAGACCGACCCCCAUCUUUUUACAGUACUUCUCUAGAUGGCUGUGUCUCUAAGAGGAUCCUGGUGGGAUUUCAGAGAUUGAAAUGGAAGAACAGAGAUUCUGUUCUUCCGACAGAAGCCCUUCAGGUUCUGAGCAGAAAGCAUCAAGGGGGAACAGCAGGGCUACAGUGUCAUAACAGUCUAGGCCAAGGCAUAGGGACUAGUGUGUCAAUGCCUCAGGAGGGAUAGGUCCUAAGACUUCUACACAAAGCCAGAGAUUUGUAAAGGCUACUGACUGACUGUAUGUCACCAAUUAAUUCAGUGAAGGAGUCCCAAAACACAUGCUGGUGAAGGCUGGGGGAGGGGAAGGCCGGGGGAUUGCUAGUAACCAAAUCUCUGAAGCCGCCCUAUAUGCACUAGCAAAAGCUAACUUCAUACUAUUUACACAGUUUGGGAUCCCACAUCAUAAAAUUCAUGUAAAGACCAACGUUAGGUCCAAAAAUAAUUCCCAGGAAACUGGAAGAAACUAACAUAAAACAAGCUUUUAAGAACUAUGCUCUAAACCACAGCACUUGGCACUACAGCGAAGAUAAAUGGCCCAGUUGAAAAUGAGCUCAAACUUCUAAAAAAAAAAAAUCAUUUUUAAGGUGUAAUUUUUAAAAAAGAAAAUAAAUUCUCAAAAACCAAAAAUUAGAAACACAUGACAAAGAGAUCAACUGUGGAGUCGGCCACAGAAACACAAGGGGCUGAUAGCACCCAAGAUCUUUGACACACAGAGUCAACGGCCCACUCAGAGGCCGGCAGCCUUUUAAAUGUUGGGAGAUGCAAAGGAAAGACCAGAAACCACAGGAACAGAUCAACUUGAAGUAGAACCAGAGAGAACAUCAAGGGACUGAAAACACAACCAAUGAAAUCAAAAGAGAGUUGGGGUUGAAAAAGAGAGUCAACACAAUGAAAACCAGUGAAAAAAUGACCCCCAAGGAACUGUGGUGAAAUCCAGAAAAACAAAUAAUACCACUUAAGACCUCUACCACCACUGGUGUGACUUGAGUGUGCGCAGGGCUCUAAGAAUUGUGCCGUGGUAGCUGGGUGCCAUGGUAGCUGGGUGUGGUGGUGCCUGACUCUAAUCUCAGUGCUUGGAAGGAUGAGGUAAGGGAAUCAAAAUUCAAGGGCAGCCUGAGCUACAGAUAAUUCCAAAACAAUCCAGGCUAGAUAGAGAAAGCCUAUUUCAAAAAGAAAAAAAAAAAUUUUUUUUUUUUUAAUAGAGAGGCUGGGAAGGUGGCUCAGCGGUUAAGAGCACUUGCCAACACCCUUCCAGAGGACCCAGGUUCAGAUCCCACCACCCACAUGGUGCCUCACAGUUCUUAGGGACUCAAUGCUCUCUCCUGACCUCCAUGGGCACGGCACACAUGUGAUGUAGAAGACAUACAUGCAGACAAAAAAACCCAUAUGUAUAAAAUAAAAUUAAAUUUAAAAAAGAAAAAGAAAUAUGCCCUUUCAUUUUCACGAUACAUUUAUUUGAGGCUGCUGAACUUGAAAAUACCAAAUGGUUACUAAUAGUGUAAAAAUUCCUCCUUCCUUUCCAUAACCAUAAAAAACUCUUGUUAAACACUCUUUUCUCAAUUUCGUUAUACACAUUAUUAUCUUUAAUACCAUUUAACCUUUGUAUGGCAUUUCACACUGUAAAUUGCAUUUUUAACACAGUAAUCACAACUUUAAAAGGAUUCUUUUUUUAAAACACGAUUCACAUUACCCUAGUUUCAUUAAUUUGAUCAAAGUCACUACAAAUUUUGAACCAUGAAGAUUUUCAUGGGGCAGCCAUAAAAUAUUUAACAACGCAGAUACUUACAAAGACAGCUAAUUACAACAGGAAUAUCUUACUCUGUAUCUAACCUGAAAAUCGACCAUAAUAUAAUUUUUUAAUAAAAAUAAUUUUAAUGAGAGACCCAUUGUUUAAUCUAUCCCUUAAACCAUUGACCACACAUAUUCUAAACACAGUUCUCAGACACAAACCAGUUCCAUACUAUUUUUACCAGUAGGAGGUCAUACGAUCCGAACUAAAAUUUAGUUAUAAAAGAUCAUUAAACAGACUGACUAUUAGCACCUUUAUUAUAAACUGUAUUCUCAUUUACACACUAAUACAAUUGUAAAUACUAUCUGCUUAUUUGAUCAAGAGAGAUCAUGGCAAAGGUCAUCCCUGAUUAGGAAACAACACUCGUCGUCCCUUUGGUACUUAUUUACAUCUUCAUAAAAUUCAAUAUGUCAAAGGAAGGGAGACUAUGACAUUAUCUGUCAUCAGUCAAUAAAAUAUUAAGGAUCCACGUGAGCUUAAGAAAAUUUGAGAGCAGGAGCUGGGAGAGAGCUCACACUAUUAAAGUGUUUUCAUCCCAAGUAGGAGGAUCUCAACUCAAAACCUUGAAAACCAGAAAGGUACAGUAGUGUAUGUCUGUAACCCCAAACCCACAGAGGUGCUAACAGUAGGACCCCUGGGGUUCGAGGGCCUGCCAGCCUCCAGGACUUGGUGAUCCCCAAACCAAUCAGACACUUUGUCUUAGAGAAUCAGGGACAUUACUGAGGAAUGACACCUGAUUCUGACCUCUGACCUACACAUACAAACAAAUGCACAUGCACUCACACACAUACAUGUACACACACACAUACACACGUAAUUAUACACACUCACACACAAACUGAGAUCACUGUUAAGCUGGACUUUUACUUAUUAAGAUAGCAGUAUUUUUGAAAAAAAACUCAGAAUAUAAUUUCGUGAACUUGUUGACAGUUCACAUAUGAUUCUGUAAAAUUUUAUAUUUGAAUGUGAGGAUAUACUUGUUAGUCCAGUAAGUAAUUCUGUACAUCUUUAAAUGGGAGUGUGUGGAAAUUAGGUUUAACGAGGCAAGCAAGAAAUAUAUGAUUUUGUAAUAUUCCUUAUUUUAAAAAAGACUUGGGAAAAAUAUUAAAACAGAAGAGUUUCUUAA